ensembl:lncRNA
AUCACCUCAUCUUCCACCUGGCCUACUUGUCCCUGAAAGCUCCAGCCUGCGUUAACCAUCAUCUGUUAGCGAUUUUCAAACAGCGAGACAGAACCUGGACUCCUCACAAAUCCAGUUCCAGACAUACCAGUUCUGGUGGAGGCAGCUGCCAGGCCUUGGCCAUAACCUUGACCUGAUCUCUCAUGUCUUCACAAAGGCACAGCCCCUGAAGUGGGGAGGUCUCACUGCUUCGAGGACAAGCCAGUCAGCUUCAUAAUUUCAUGGUGUCUGAUGAAGAAGCCAUGAGGAAAGUCUGUCUGCCUGCCUAUCACAGGAGUUAGGGGAUGCAUGAGACAGAUUUUUAUGUUUUUUUGGAACACUUCAGCAGCAAGACACUAGCAGCCCCACAACCAGCGAGAAGAAGAUGGCCCAGAGCUUCUCCAACUCCUCAGAGGAAUCCGACUUGGAUACCUCCAUGGAAGAAACCAUACGUGAUACUAUCUGGGCCAGAGCGGAGAAGCCCAGCAGUGCCAGGAGAGCCUGGGCAACUCACCAGUGAACUUCCUCAUCAAGAAGCUGCAGCAGAUGAGAACAAAGAGAAAGACCCACAUACCGUUGGCUCUUCAAAUCGGUGUGGUUCAUGCAAUGAAAUAAUGCUCCAAAGAAGGGGAAAAUCCUCCACAAGGAACAGAGAACCCCAUUGA